UCUUGGACACAGCGCUGCGCUCUCGCCUGAAAAGCUCACCCCGCCCUCCCUCUCUCCCUCCCUCCCUCCGUCUCCACCUCAGCCUCAACCAGCGCUGAAACCACACGACAAGAACAGAGGACAUUCAUUCGCGUCCGUGACAGUGACCGAUGCACGCCAAUCCUUGCCCGACGUCUCCGCCAGGACCAAGCCUGCUGACCUGAGCCGGACUUGGCGCCCCGCUCAUUCAGCUUCGCCGGCUGUGAACAGAUCCGCGCCGGGGCAGUCCGGUCGCUUCCCCUCCACACACACACACACACACACACACAUACACCUCACUGGACAUUAGUUUAUUCCCUCGAUGCUGGAUGAAUUAUCGGAGAGUUGUGAAGAAGUGUGAGAAGAACGCUGAGGUCUGGGAUCUGCCUCCUCGCUCCGUCCUGGCAAGAAGACUCAGCCAGAGUUGUGGACGAUAAUGGAAGGGACGUCCCUGUAUCUUCCUAUUGUUAUUUUACUGAUGCAAUGUUCCCCCUCUGUUCCCGUUACCGUGUCAACCACCAAACCUAAAGUGGAGGUGGAGGAGUUCUCAGACGCAGUGCUGUCGUGCAUGUUCCACACAGAGGAAGACCAGAACCCACGCAUCGAGUGGAAGAAAAAGGGGAAAGAUGUCUCCUUUGUGUACUUCAACGGACGCUUCAAAGGUUCUUUUGAAGGUCGAGCGUCCAUCGAAGGGGCGACAGUGACGCUGCAAAAGGUGACCCAAGAGGACGCCGGGGAGUACCGUUGUGAGAUCAGCGCCUCUCAAGACACCGUCAGCCUGGGCGAGACCAACGUCACGCUCAAAGUCUUAGUGCCCCCACACAUCCCGUCCUGUGAAAUCCCCAGUUCAGCAGUGACAGGCACACUCGUGCAGCUGCGCUGUCUGGACGAGCAGAGCAUCCCACCUGCUACAUACUCCUGGUUCAAGGACAACCAUCCAAUCAGCCCGCCCCGGCAAGCCAACGCAACCUAUCUCAUCAACGCUCACACAGGAAUACUGGAGUUUAAAGCUGUAGUCAAAGAGGACACUGGCCGCUACAGCUGCCUGGCGUCUAAUGGAGUGGGAUCGCCCAAGAUGUGCGAAGGAAAGCACAUGGCAAUAGAGGAUGUCAACAUGACGGCGGUGGUGACAACAGUGGUGGUUGUCUGCCUGCUUAUCGUGGUAUGCGGGUGCGGGGGACUUGCCUUACACCGCAACAGCUUUUUCACCCCAGGACACAGAGGAAGGUCAUUUUGGAUCUCCCAGCAUCACGGUGCAGCCCACAUCAGCAGCCAAACCCUUCACAGAACUGAAGACACGUUGGUUUGCAGAUGCCGAGUUUCAAACUUGUUCAACCCACAUAUCACUGAGCUGUAGCCUGAAGCCAUCCACGAAGACAGUCAAAGUACGGAGUAAGGAUACUACCUCAGCCCUGCAGGAUGCUUCCAAGAUGCAGACUGGGGGGAAUUUGGCCCGACUUGGACGGACUCGCAUCAGCUGCAUUUGAAGUAGAAACUUUUUUAUGCUGAAAGUAUCUGAAAAUGUUUCAAGUGUUCAAGGUGAGGACACAGCUCUGAACAUGGGAUGCCUCUUUUAACUCCAGAGACGAGAGGAACCUGAUGAGAGGCCAAGCAGCAUGUAGAGGAGCACAUUAACAGUAAUAAUCCAGAUCCAUUGAGGCCUUUUAAUACACUCGUCUGCAGGAGAGAACAGCCAGCACAAAACCACACCUCCUGCUUUUAGAGAUGUUUACACCAAAUUUUAAGGACGCUACUCAGCAUCAUCUGCCACCCCCCUUGCCUCCCUCUUAGAUAUAGAUCAAACAAAAAAAAGCAUCAUUUCCUGCAAGCAGAUAGAUGCAGGACUCUCCCUCCCCUUCCCUGAGGAAUGGACAUGAAAUGACCCAUUAAUCCCUCGCUAACUGGUCACAACCACUUUGCAUUUUCACCCUCACUCCUUCUUCAUUUGUACAAUAUUACCUGGUUUGUAAAACUCUCACCUUUGUGCAAACAGCCUUCCUGUUAUUUAAUACAUUUUAUAUAUCUGUAUUUAUAUGGCUGUCUUAAUGGUCUGUUUUUCUGUAUUUUUUUAAAGAAAAUAAAAAAAUGUUUUAUAUUUGUGUCAUUUUGCAACAAACUGACUUGAGGCAACAUUUUCACAAAAUAAAGUGGCAGUGCUGUGACAAAUGAAGACUUUCUGGUUAAUAGAUAAGAAAAAAAGCUAAUAUCUGUAUGUUAAAUGUAAAGUAAGGAGCUUCCCUUGUCUUUGUCUUUCAGGUCCAAUGUCAACUACAUCCCACCGCCUCAAGAACCCCAGGAUUUCAAACACACACAGUCGUUCAUGCUCUGAGAAGCUGGACUCCCUUCGACUGACAUCACCCCUGUGAUAAGGUGCCAACACUGGACUCUGGAAUAUUUAAUUCUUUGUUAAAUUUUUCCUCGAUCUUCCGACAUGUCACUUCUCUCAAAUGAGUUGAAUCCAGUAAAGUUGCGAAGCUUCUUGCUCUUGUUUUGCUUCUGUGGUUCACCUUUCCCACUCACGUCUUCUGUUAAUGGGAUUAAGUACAGUUUAAUAGUACUCUGCUUCCCCCUGGUGGUCAGAUGUUGAUAUUGAUCUUUUCUGAAAAAAAAUGAAGAUUAACUGAUAAUCCAUCACAAUUUGUUUCUUCCUCCAGCAGGCCAAUUGUUUCACUUGAUUUAUUUGACCAAAGACUCAUUACUCUUUUUCUCCUCCUCAUUUUAUCUUCAGAGGGGAAGUCUCUGUAAAGCCAUAGUGAAAGCAUUUCAGUUUUCAGAAUACUCAAGACUUAAAUGCAGUUUACCUCAAGUCAGUAUUUUGUCUUCUGGAAGUCUCAGGCCCCGACACCACUGAAAACCCUGAUCUUAGUAACAACCAACCAGUCCAGCUAAUUCUACUGAGACCAACCCCAUUCCAUCCUGAUGUGCCUGCAUGGUCUUUUCUUUUUAUUAAUAUAUUCAUAUUAUAUAUAAAUAUAUUCUGUAUACCUUGUGCCUUUUUAAUUUGUCUGUCGUAUCGAUCUAUGGAUCACAACUUUUUGUAAAAAGGAUAAAAAAAAAAAAAACUUGCCUUACUUUUCUGUCUUGAUAUUCUCGUGCCACCGUUUGACUGUUUUUGACUGUGUGGAUGAUUUGUUCGGAUUUUUAUUUGAAUGAUGUAUCAGUAAUAAAAUGCUUUUUUAUUCAA